rnacentral:tmRNA from 1 species
GGGGCCGACUGGUUUUGACAGCGGGUUUCAUUGUUUGGUAAGCAUGUCGAGCGCUGGGAUACAGCUCGUAAAUAUCAUAUUUCACACUUUUUUAAACGGCGAGAAUAACUACGCCCUAGCUGCAUAAUCCGAAUUAUAGUAGGAUGUGCCUCGGCCCGCAAGGCGGGCAAGCAGGAAGUCACUCGAGAGCCUUGGUUUGCGGCAAUCGAUUUAGUGGCUUCGUAAAAGUAAACCUAGUAACAGUAGUGCUUUGAUGCUGUUAUGAAACUCAAUUAUAGCUAAGCCCAACGCAGGUUGUUUCCUGCCAGCAAUGGGUCGAAAACUCUAAAGGAAAAUAAACAUGUAGAAAGCCUUGCAACGGCACGUUUGGACGGGAGUUCGACUCUCCCCGGCUCCACAA